UACGUAGGGUGCAAGCGUUGUCCGGAAUUAUUGGGCGUAAAGAGCUCGUAGGCGGUUUGUUGCGUCGGCUGUGAAAUCCCGAGGCUCAACCUCGGGUCUGCAGUCGAUACGAGCAAACUAGAGUGUUGCAGGGGAGACUGGAAUUCCUGGUGUAGCGGUGAAAUGCGCAGAUAUCAGGAGGAACACCGGUGGCGAAGGCGGGUCUCUGGGCAACAACUGACGCUGAGGAGCGAAAGCGUAGGGAGCGAACAGG
rnacentral:rRNA from 1 species